rnacentral:rRNA from 1 species
AGAGUUUGAUCCUGGCUCAGGAUGAACGCUAGCGGCAGGCUUAACACAUGCAAGUCGAGGGGUAUAGGUUUUCGGACCUAGAGACCGGCGCACGGGUGCGUAACGCGUAUGCAAUCUACCUUUUACAGAGGGAUAGCCCAGAGAAAUUUGGAUUAAUACCUCAUAGCAUUAUGAAUCGGCAUCGGUUUAUAAUUAAAGUCACAACGGUAAAAGAUGAGCAUGCGUCCCAUUAGCUUGUUGGUAAGGUAACGGCUUACCAAGGCAACGAUGGGUAGGGGUCCUGAGAGGGAGAUCCCCCACACUGGUACUGAGACACGGACCAGACUCCUACGGGAGGCAGCAGUGAGGAAUAUUGGUCAAUGGGCGCAAGCCUGAACCAGCCAUGCCGCGUGCAGGAUGACGGUCCUAUGGAUUGUAAACUGCUUUUGUACAGGAAGAAACAGUUCUACGUGUAGAACCUUGACGGUACUGUAAGAAUAAGGAUCGGCUAACUCCGUGCCAGCAGCCGCGGUAAUACGGAGGAUCCAAGCGUUAUCCGGAAUCAUUGGGUUUAAAGGGUCCGUAGGCGGUUUUGUAAGUCAGUGGUGAAAGCCCGUCGCUCAACGGCGGAACGGCCAUUGAUACUGCAAGACUUGAAUUAUUAGGAAGCAACUAGAAUAUGUAGUGUAGCGGUGAAAUGCUUAGAUAUUACAUGGAAUACCAAUUGCGAAGGCAGGUUGCUACUAAUGGAUUGACGCUGAUGGACGAAAGCGUGGGGAGCGAACAGGAUUAGAUACCCUAGUAGUCC